GCGAGUCAUUGUAGCAAUACAAGGCAGACGGCUCAGUAACGCGUAGUCAAUCUACCCUAUGGACGGGAAUAACCUCGGGAAACUGAGAAUAAUGCCCGACAGAACAUUAUACCUGGAACGGUUUAUGUUUCAAAUGAUUUAUCGCCGUAGGAUGGGACUGCGGCCUAUCAGUUUGUUGGUGAGGUAAUGGCCCACCAAGACUAUUACAGGUACGGGCUCUGAGAGGAGUAGCCCGGAGAUGGGUACUGAGACACGGACCCAGGCCCUAUGGGGCGCAGCAGGCGAGAAAACUUUGCAAUGUGCGAAAGCACGACAAGGUUAAUCCGAGUGGUUUCUGCUAAAGAAACCUUUUGCUAGUCCUAGAAACACUAGUGAAUAAGGGGUGGGCAAGUUCUGGUGUCAGCCGCCGCGGUAAAACCAGCACCUCAAGUGGUCAGGAUGAUUAUUGGGCCUAAAGCAUCCGUAGCUCGUUUUGUAAGUUUUCGGUUAAAUCCAUACGCUUAACGUAUGGGCUGCCGGGAAUACUGCAUAACUAGGAAGUGGGAGAGGUAGACGGUACUCGGUAGGAAGGGGUAAAAUCCUUUGAUCUAUUGAUGACCACCUGUGGCGAAGGCGGUCUACCAGAACACGUUCGACGGUGAGGGAUGAAAGCUGGGGGAGCAAACCGGAUUAGAUACCCGGGUAGUCCCAGCUGUAAACUAUGCAAACUCAGUGAUGCAUUGGCUUGUGGCCAAUGCAGUGCUGCAGGGAAGCCGUUAAGUUUGCCGCCUGGGAAGUACGUACGCAAGUAUGAAACUUAAAGGAAUUGGCGGGGGAGCACCACAANGGGUGAAGCCUGCGGG
rnacentral:rRNA from 1 species